rnacentral:rRNA from 1 species
AAUAGAUACCCGGGUAGUCCACGCCGUAAACGAUGGAUGCUAGCUGUUAGGAGUAUCGACCCUCCUAGUAGCGUAGCUAACGCGUUAAGCAUCCCGCCUGUGGAGUACGAGCGCAAGCUUAAAACAUAAAGGAAUUGACGGGGACCCGCACAAGCGGUGGAGCGUGUUGUUUAAUUCGAUGGUAAGCGAAGAACCUUACCCAGGCUUGACAUCCUGCCAAAGACUCCGAAAGGAGACUGUGCCUUCGGGCCGCAGUGACAGGUGAUGCAUGGCCGUCGUCAGCUCGUGUCGUGAGAUGUUUGGUUAAGUCCAUCAACGAGCGCAACCCCUAUGACUAGUUGUAUUUCUCUAGUCAGACUGCCCUGGCAACAGGGAGGAAGGAGGGGAUGAUGUCAGGUCAGUAUCUCCCUUACGCCUGGGGCUACAAACACGCUACAAUGGCCGGUACAAAGGGCAGCCAACCCGCGAGGGGGAGCAAAUCCCAUCAAAGCCGGUCUCAGUUCGGAUUGCAGGCUGAAACUCGCCUGC